UAUUUAGGUCAGAGGCCCAGGUUGGUAAUGCAGUCUCAGGUUAACUAAUCCUCCUCCUUAUUGUCUAAAUGGAGAGGCGGUGGAUCAUCUGCUGGGCUGUGAUCCUUACCUGCACAGAGAGGUAUAAAGAGACCCUUUGCAGCAGCAAACAGGACUUGCAGCUGACAGAAGGCAUUUGACCAGGAGCCAGGGGAUAAAGAUGUGAUUCCCAAACAUCUCCAGCCACGGGCCUGACCCUGUUAUUGGUUGCACUCUUCAUCACCUUAGGGAAAAUGGAUUCAUGUCAAAGCAAAGGCUUGGGACCUAACUCAGAACUGAUAUGAAGCAUUAUGACAGACCUCUGGCAACAGUGGAUCAGAAGCUGUUCUCCUGGUGUCUUUUCCUCCUCUUUUGGAAAGAGGACCUGGUCAAAAGAGCAGAGAGAAUUCCUGAGACCAGGGCUUUACUGGGUCCUGACUCUGG